rnacentral:tRNA from 1 species
AUUUAUAAAGUUUAUAAAACAUUUCAUUUUCAUUGAAAAGAGGGGCAUCAUGCUUUGUAAAUA